UGGAGGACUGAGAAGGUUGAACAGUUUGUAUUGUGCUGUUUUAACUGGUAAUAACCUCCAAGAAUAACAAACAAACAUGCCAGAUAUGUAGCUCUGCAAAAAGCAGAGCUAAAAUGUGUGUUUGUAGACAUAAU
ensembl:snoRNA small nucleolar RNA SNORA47